AAAAAAUCGACAAAGUAGAAAAAGAUUCGGUUUGAGGACUUUAGUUCUUACACAAAAAUCCUCAAAAUCUUGGACCAAUUUCUGAAAAACAAUCUGAAAUAAUGAUUUUCACUUAUGGUAACUGAAACAUUUGGUGUGAAAUCAAGUUAUUGUGCUACAAUGCGAGAGUAGCGAGUUCUUUUUCAAGUCGCGUUCAAUUCAAUCACGCUUCUAGUGAAAGAAAAUUGUAGG